rnacentral:rRNA from 1 species
GGGGAUGUGACUGCAGCAGACGACCCGUGAACAUGUAACCACAACGGGGUGACCGUGAUAAGGGCCUCGGUCCUUAUCCCCUAACCCUUCCCGACGUGAGUUCGUGGUGUCUUUUUUGGGGCAUCAUGGAUUCCGUUGGACCAUAACAAAACCCCGGCACGGUAUGUGCCAAGGAAAACAAAAAUGAGAAGGACACUACCUGUUUCGCCCCGUUUGCGGUGUGCGUACAGGUCGUGGCCUCCUUGGAAUCACAAACGACUCUCGGCAACGGAUAUCUCGGCUCACGCAUCGAUGAAGAACGUAGCAAAAUGCGAUACUUGGUGUGAAUUGCAGAAUCCCGUGAACCAUCGAGUUUUUGAACGCAAGUUGCGCCCGAAGCCAUCCGGCUGAGGGCACGCCUGCCUGGGCGUCACGCAUCGCGUCGCUCCCCACCAUACCUCCCCAACGGGUUGGCAUGGUGUUGGGGGCGGAUAAUGGCCUCCCGUGCUUGUGUUUCGGUUGGCCUAAAUAAGAGUUCCCUUCGGCGGACACACGACUAGUGGUGGUUGAAUAGACCCUCGUCUUUUGUUGCGUGUCGUGAGCUGUAAGGGUAGCCCUCAUCAAAGACCCCAUUGUAUCGUCUUCGGAUGAUGCUUCGACCGCGACCCCAGGUCAGGCGGGACUACCCGCUGAGUUUAAGCAUAUCAAAA